GCACGAAUGUACUUGUCAAAGGUGGUGAUCUCCCUAAUUCUUCAGAUGCUAUUGAUGUAUUUUUUGAUGGUCAGGAAUUCUACGAGCUUUCUUCACCACGUGUAAAUACUCGCAAUACUCAUGGCACUGGUUGUACUUUGGCAUCAUGCAUUGCAGCAGAGCUGGCAAAAGGUUCAUCAAUGCUUUCAGCGGUUAAGGUUUGUUUAGCUCUUUCAUUUCACAUAAAUAUCGGAGGACCUAAUUUUCAAUGACCAUGAUUAUUCACUCUCCUUAUUACUUUAAAAAUACAAUAGAGUAGAGCAAAUGAAAAUAAAAAAUAGAAUGCAUUAUCGUUAACACUUGUACAUAUAAGACCUGGUUAUAGGAAAUGGAGCCCAAGGCCCUUUUGACCAUUUUUUGGCAUUUAAGAAUAUCAGUCAGAGUUCUUGUAGGCAGGAUAGGUUCAAUCCCAAUGACUUAUUUCUAUAUGCUGUAACCGAUUCACGCAUAAAUAAGAGGUGGGGCCGUUCUAUUGCUGAAGCCGUUAAGGCGGCUGUAGAAGGGGGUGCUACCAUUGUCCAAUUAAGAUGCUUCGGAACUUUAGAAAAGAUGGACACAACUGGAAAAAGAAAAAGGAUGGAAAAACUGUUAAGGAAGCUCAUGAGCACUUAAAAGUGAGGGUUUUCAUUUUAUUGAGUGUUUAUAUUUGUGUUAAUUUAAAGUUUAUAAUAUCAACUAGCAAGUUGUAUUCAGUUUCUUCAAAAUAUUAUACAAGGAUGUUAUUUGAUCUAUUUAAUGUGCUAUCUCCGCUUUGUAUGUUCUACAGUUUUCGCACAAUGAUUCGAUCACAUAUGUAUCAGUGUUAAUUGUUUCUGGUUAAUAUUUGAAGAAUAGAUUAUGUUUCUUCUCUUAAUCUCACCAUUCAUCAGAUAGGAUGUUUAUUAUGCAUGAUAACAUUUCCUUCAUCCAUUUUUUGCUAUUAUUGAUUCUGAUUAUAGAUUUGAGUGAUAAUGUCGUAUCAUAUCUGAUUUCUGAUCAUUCUUUUCUUUUCUCUAUCAAUCAAGUUGGUAAUGAAGAAAGGAUCCAUGUAUAUUAUGCACAUGGUCAAGAUAACCCAAACUUUGUCCGUAGAUGUUAUUGGCUGCUUGAUAAGUAUGUAAACCAAUUGUUAACUUAACUAUUAAUCCCUGGCUCCAACAUGUCAUUCAUUUCCACAUUUCUGAAUUAUAUUUUAGAAAUGGUGCUUCUCAACUUCUUGUACAUAAUGGUUUGAGAAUAUAAUUAAUUGAUUAGAAUAACUUUGCAUAAAAUAAUGUGACUUACAAUUGUUUGCACCAUCUUUUUUUCAGGAGUCUGGAACACAUUGUCCUAGUUCAUUACCGUGAAACACGGGAGGUUUGUGUAAAUCACUUUCUUUUCCUUCCAAAAAGUCUAAAUUUACUUCAAAACCAUAACUUAUAUAUGCCAUUGUGUAUAUUGUUUUAGCUGAUAGAAAGACCAUAUAUGUAUGCUGUCAUUAGUCAGUUUGUAACUCAUUGGUUCUUGGGUUGGAAACUAGCGAUUUGAACAUGUAUGGACUCUGGAUACACCAAUAAUCAACUCCCAUAUUAUUUUUUUACAGCAAAAAUGUAAUUUCAAUCUGUCUGGUUGGAAAUUUAAUUUGUUCUGUGUGUGCCGUGCGUAGUCUCUUUUGUUUUUGGGUGUUAAGAAGCAGCUUGUGUACCUCUAUUUACCAUUACAUUCCUGAGAAGGUAUAAUCCAAGUCCAACAUCGGAUCUGUAGGCUUAACAGAUUUGAUGAUUGAUAAUGGUUGCUUUUCGCGAUUUUGAUUGAAGGAAUUGCGACACUGAUCGUGGUCGUCGCGGUGUGAAUUAACCCCAAUUUUUGGUGAAUAACAGUAUUUUAUCAAAUGGUUGAAAAUCAAAAGGUUGAGGAGCAAAAUCUACUAGAUCAAAUGCAAAUGGUUGAAGAGGAUAAGGAGAUAGAAAUGUUGCCAAAACAAAAGCCAAAGAAGAAGAAGAAGAAAACUUAUAUAUGAAGAAAGUGUUAUGACUUAGUUAAAAUAUAAUUUUUAUGUGUAUGAUUUUAUAGUACUUGAAAUAUUAUGACUGCACAUGAUUUUGUAUAC